rnacentral:rRNA from 1 species
UAGUCCACGCCGUAAACGAUGAUAACUAGCUGUUCGGGCCCACAGGGCUUGAGUGGCGCAGCUAACGCAUUAAGUUAUCCGCCUGGGGAGUACGGUCGCAAGAUUAAAACUCAAAGGAAUUGACGGGGGCCUGCACAAGCGGUGGAGCAUGUGGUUUAAUUCGACGCAACGCGCAGAACCUUACCAGCUUUUGACAUCCUGGUCGCGGAUUUGGGAGACCAUUUCCUUCAGUUCGGCUGGACCAGUGACAGGUGCUGCAUGGCUGUCGUCAGCUCGUGUCGUGAGAUGUUGGGUUAAGUCCCGCAACGAGCGCAACCCUCAUCCUUAGUUGCCAGCAUUUAGUUGGGCACUCUAAGGAAACUGCCGGUGAUAAGCCGAGAAGUGGGAUGACGUCAAGUCCUCAUGGCCCUUACAAGCUGGGCUACGACACGUGCUACAAUGGUAGAUACAGAGGGUCGCGAAACCGUGAGGUGGAGCUAAUCCCAGAAAGUCUAUCCC